rnacentral:lncRNA from 1 species
ACUCCAGGUGUGAAUUCCUUGAAAUCAGGAAACAAAGGAAGACCUUUUCGCUUUCAUUUCCCUCUACCUAAAAUAUCUUUGGCUGAUUUCUCAAAUGGGUAGAAAAACUAUUCAGAUUUGACUGAAAAAGGAAAGAGAAAACUCAAUAGUGCCUUUUCUUUCCAGGGGCUUAGCACCCAGGUGACAGCAAGGGCCGCUCCAGUUUCUAAGUGAAAGUGGCCAG